AACGAACGCUGGCGGCAUGCCUAACACAUGCAAGUCGAACGAGACCUUCGGGUCUAGUGGCGCACGGGUGCGUAACGCGUGGGAAUCUGCCCUUCGGUUGGGAAUAACUGAGAGAAAUUUCAGCUAAUACCUUAUAAUGUCUUCGGACCAAAGAUUUAUCGCCGAGGGAAGAGCCCGCGUAGGAUUAGGUAGUUGGUGGGGUAAUGGCCUACCAAGCCGACGAUCCUUAGCUGGUCUGAGAGGAUGAUCAGCCACACUGGGACUGAGACACGGCCCAGACUCCUACGGGAGGCAGCAGUGGGGAAUAUUGGACAAUGGGCGAAAGCCUGAUCCAGCAAUGCCGCGUGAGUGAUGAAGGCCUUAGGGUUGUAAAGCUCUUUUACCCGGGAUGAUAAUGACAGUACCGGGAGAAUAAGCUCCGGCUAACUCCGUG
rnacentral:rRNA from 1 species